rnacentral:hammerhead_ribozyme from 1 species
AUCCAUCUGACGAGUCCGAAACAGGAUGGAAUACAUAUCCUGGAU